GUCAAUGGCCGUACCACCCCGAACAGGUCUGAUCUCAUCUGAUUGCAGAAGCUAAGCAGGGUUAGGCCUGGUUAGUACUUGGACGGAAGAACUUCUGUCUAUCAAGUGGCUGCUCCCU
rnacentral:rRNA from 1 species